UCGCCCUGAUCUCAUUCCUCAAUUUUCUCCCACAAUACCCAUCGAAGAACCUAAACUCCCCAAGCCCAACGACAUUUCUCUUGACCAUUGGCUCCUUCUCUGUUAGCUUCGGGGUUCUGCUUCCAGUGUCGUCGGCGCCAAGAGGUUUUUUGCUGGUUUUUUUAGGAAGGUAGAGAUCCACAGGAUCUGGAGCUCGAGCUGUGGAAAUCUGGGGAGAAAUUGUGAAGGUCAGAAACUUGCAGCUAUAGCAGUGGAAAUCUGGAAUGCUCAUUUUUUGUUCUAGAGACUUGAAGCUAUAGUUGUGGAUCUGGAGCUCGAGCUGUGGAAAUCUGAAAUACAAUUUGAAGCUCCAGAGAGUUGAAGCUAAAGCUGUGAACUCAAAGCUAAAGCCAUGGAGUACCCAGGACCCAGCAAAAACUCCAGAGAUCCACAGCCAUAGCUGUGGCUUCAUAGCUGCAGCGCUGGAGGUUCCUUAAGCUUGAAGGAGUUGCCACAGCUAUAGCUGUGGAACCACAACUAUGGCUUUGGAGGUUUCUUCACCCUGAAGGACUCUCCACAGCUAUAGCCGUGGAUCUACAGCUGCAGCCGUGGGA